CUCCUGAAAAGGCAUCAAGACCCCAAACGGGCCACCCUCAAAAAAAAAAAGACAAGAACUGCAACACCAGAGAAGAAGAUGAACAACGUUUAAAAGGAGAUGGGGGCAGAACGCAGCAAAAGGCUACCAACCACACCACCACUGAAGGGAAGCUGGCAAAAAAAUGAGACUGAAAAACAGAGAAGAAGGAGGAGGAGGGGUUGCUGUUGAUUCUGCCCUGCCUCUCUCCUCGCCCUCCUCUGCAUCGCCUCUUCCCUCCUCCUCCUAAUCCUCCUCCCUUCCUCCUCCGCUCCAUCCUCAGCCGACUGCCCCCUUUUUCCUGUACAGCGAGACGCAGCCCCGCGCCACCAUCUUAGAGCAACGCUGGCAUGAAAUGGAAGUGGGGAAGACCAGUCGGUGCAGGCGAAUGAUUUGUCGGUGUGCCGAAGGGGGAUCCGAAACGGGCCGAGAGCAGACGAAGAGGAGGGACAGCAGGUUCUCCUCCGCUUGCCGUCUUUCCGUCAGGACUACAACGGCGAUGGCGACGGCGCAGACGUCUGCACGCGCUUCCUGCCGUGACUUUGGGACAUCGCCGCGCCGUUCGUAACCUCGUUGAUUGCGGCUGAGCGAUGCGUUAUUUGACCCAAGCGGAACUGAGCGAAAAGAAAAAAAAAAAAAGGUCCACGGCGGACCGUGCACGGCUGUGGGAAACGAAAGGCUCAGACAGACGAUCAGCAGCUUUUCUGGCGUGGACAAACUGGUCCCGUAAAUGUUGUGACUCUCGAGGGUGUGGCGCUUGAUUGUGUAAUUCUCAUCCUUAUAUGUUCUAUCCUACAUGUGAAGAAUAUCACUUAAGACAUGAAGCGAUGUAGUGUGUCUUCAACUGACUAUAGGCUCGACUUGUAGGUUCAUUUGAAUGAGUUGUAGCCCCCGUUUUGUUUGAUUCCUGUUUUUGUUAUUUAGUUGCUAGGACUCGGAGACACGUGAAUGUGAGACCCACGGCAGCAGUGAAUAAAUACUGCACUGCGAUUGGACGGCUCCGUGUGUCGGCUGACACAAUGGCAAAGGAAUGAGCUGUCGUCUUUAUACUCUAUGCAACUGUUUUAUGUAUUUUUUUUUGUGUUUAUGGUUCUUUUAUUUUAUUUUUGGUCUUGGAUCUCCUUUCAUCCUCUGGAUUUUUAUUUUUGGGCUACCAGUUUUUACAGAUAUUCCUUCAUACAUCAAGAAAAGAAAUGUUUUUUUUUUAAAAAAGGAGCCUACUUUCCCCCGGUUUGUUAAUAUACUGCUACAGAAAUGACGGUCAGUGAGUGUGUGUGUGUGUGUGUGUGUGUGUGUGAGUGUGUGUGACAAAUGACACAAUACAGCUCCGUUUCACAUGCAUUUGGAUCUCAUAUUCGCAGCCUUAACAGACUUUGAUUCGCAGCCGUGAACCACAGUCUGAGUAAACGGGCGCCAGCACGUUUUAAUAUUCCUGAUGGCAGGAGUGUGUUUGAUCAGCAGGAAGUGGCAGAGCCAGGGCUCAUGGCGGCGAGUGUACAGAGCACGCCGCACUAUUAAAACCUUCCCCGGCGCUCUCUGGAACGCAGCAGCUUGGUUCAGUUACCUGCAUCGCUGUUAAUGAUCCAUCGUUUGGGUGAGACAUGAUAAAUACAUUGGCUUCAAACACCGCCUUAAUUUCCUGUCCUUGACAUUAACACACACACACGCACACACACACACACACACACACACACACACACACACACACACA